rnacentral:misc_RNA from 1 species
GAUGAAGAACGCAGCGAAAUGCGAUAAGUAGUGUGAAUUGCAGAAUUCAGUGAAUCAUCGAAUCUUUGAACGCACAUUGCGCCCCUUGGUAUCCCGAGGGGCAUGCCUGUUCGAGCGUCAUUUCACCACUCAAGCCUGGCUUGGUGUUGGGCGACGUCCUCUUUGGGGACGCGCCUCGAAACGCUCGGCGGCGUGGCACCGGCUUUAAGCGUAGCAGAAUCUUUCGCUUUGGAAGUCGGGGCCCCGUCUGCCGGAAGACCUGCUCGCAAGGUUGACCUCGGAUCAGGCAGGGAUACCCGCUGAACUUAAGCAGAUCAAUAAGCGGAGGA